AGCUUUGCACAGUGGCAGUAUCGUAGCCCAUGAGGUUUAUCUGAGGAGCGAUUAUUGCUAAUUGAAAAGGCCAGCUUGGGCAGCCCACAUCAUGAGUGUCUGGGAAUGAUCCCAGAGGCAGUGACUGGGGGUGUUCUGGAUAGCA
ensembl:snRNA U4 U4 spliceosomal RNA